GGGCCCGCACAAGCGGUGGAUCAUGUGGUUUAAUUCGAAGCAACGCGAAGAACCUUACCUGGGUUUGACAUCUCUGGACAUCCGUGGAGACACGGCUUUCGUAGCAAUACGACCAGAAGACAGGUGCUGCAUGGCUGUCGUCAGCUCGUGUGGUGACAUGUUGGGUUAAGUCCCGCAACGAGCGCAACCCCUGUCCUUAGUUGCCAGCAUUCAGUUGGGCUCUCUAAGGAGACUGCCGUGGUGAACACGGAGGAAGGUGGGGAUGACGUCAAGUCCUCAUGGCCUUUAUAUCCAGGGCGACACACGUGAUACAAUGGACGGUACAGAGGGAAGCGAAACCGCGAGGUGGAGCCAAUCUCAAAAAGCCGUUCUCAGUUCGGAUUGGAGUCUGCAACUCGACUCCAUGAAGUUGGAAUCGCUAGUAAUCGCGGAUCAGCACGCCGCGGUGAAUACGUUCCCGGGCCUU
rnacentral:rRNA from 1 species